rnacentral:rRNA from 1 species
CUGAGACACGGCCCAGACUCCUACGGGAGGCAGCAGUGGGGAAUUUUGGACGGGACCUGAUCAGCACGCCGCGUGAAUGAAGAAGGCCUUAGGGUUGUAAAGUUCUUUUAUUUGGGAGCAAAAGUUGUAUGAGAAUAUCAUAUGAUGCUGAGAGUACCAAAGGAAUAAGCACCGGCUAACUACGUGCCAGCAGCCGCGGUAAUACGUAGGGUGCGAGCGUUAAUCGGAAUAACUGGGCG